rnacentral:rRNA from 1 species
GACGAACGCUGGCGGCGUGCCUAAUACAUGCAAGUAGAACGCACAGUUUAUACCGUAGCUUGCUACACCAUAGACUGUGAGUUGCGAACGGGUGAGUAACGCGUAGGUAACCUGCCUGGUAGCGGGGGAUAACUAUUGGAAACGAUAGCUAAUACCGCAUAAUAUUAAUUAUUGCAUGAUAAUUAAUUGAAAGGUUCAAUUGCACCACUACCAGAUGGACCUGCGUUGUAUUAGCUAAUAGGUGAGGUAACGGCUCACCUAGGCGACGAUACAUAGCCGACCUGAGGAGGGGAUCGGCCAAACUGGGAAUGGGACACGGCUCAGACUCCUAAGGGAGGCAGCAGGAGGGAAUCUUCGGCAAUGGACGGAAGUCUGACCGAGCAACGCCGCGGGAGUGGAGAAGGGUUUCGGAUCGUAAAGCUCUGUUGUAAGGGAAGAAAGGGUGUGAGAGUGGAAAGUUCACACUGUGACGGUAUCUUAUCAGAAAGGGACGGCUAACUACGUG